ensembl:lincRNA 2310081O03Rik RIKEN cDNA 2310081O03 gene
AAGCAUCUCAGCUGCCUGAGAGGGAAAUUGAGGCCUAAACAGCCAAAGUGGCAAGCCUUCUGAUCAUGGUGCCCAGUGCAGCGAUCUCUGUCACCAAACUGACAGCCUCUUUGGUUAAUAUUACAGUUUAGGAGAAGAAGUUCGACAGCUUUUCUCAGGUUGAAAAGAAAACAAAACAGAACGAUUUAGUUUGUCCAGCUGCUGUGCUGAGUUACCUUAAAGGCUCAGGUGGUGACAGCAGCGUGUUCAAUGACCUGGAUUUAUUUAUUGCCUAUUUUUAUUGUUACAACCUGGCCAUUCAGUGUCUGGCUCUCAGGGUGACCUGUGGACAUAAUAAGAAUCCAUCCCAAAGGAAAUAUUCUCAGUCAACCAGCCUGGUUACUCUACAUGGAAAUCAGUUGAGAAGAACUAAAACUCUAUCUUUGCUUUUCAGACCGCACUGGGGUCGUGUCUACUUUGGUAUUUUCCUGUGUGGAAGCCUCAGCGGAGUUCUGUUCCUUCAGGAUUCUACCUCCAUGCCAUGUUGACUCUGAAGGGAAGUUGAAAGCAGUCUGUCAAGAAGUGACUGAUGACUGAUGCACAACACAUGGAAAGAGAAACGUCGACCCGAUGGGUUGCUCCAGAUUAAUGACCUAGAGGUGGCAAGGGACGUUUACACGGCCUCUGAUGCGCCCUUUGCUGUUGCCAUGCAACAAUAUGUCACCGGCUGAUUCACUCAUCUCACUGAAUAAUGAAGUGUCUCUGCAGUAAAGAAAAACC